rnacentral:rRNA from 1 species
CCAGCAGCCGCGGUAAUUCCAGCUCCAAUAGCGUAUAUUAAAGUUGUUGCAGUUAAAAAGCUCGUAGUUGGAUUUCUGUUAAUAAUUUAUAUAUAAUAUUUUAUUAAUAUUUAUAUAGUAUUAACAUAAUUCAUAUUACUAUAUUUUAUAGUAUAUGAAAUUUUACUUUGAGAAAAUUAGAGUGCUUAAAGCAGGCAUUAGCCUUGAAUACUCCAGCAUGGAAUAAUAUAAAAGAUUUUUAUCUUUUUUAUUGGUUCUAAGAUAAAAAUAAUGAUUAAUAGGGACAGUUGGGGGCAUUUGUAUUUAACAGUCAGAGGUGAAAUUCUUAGAUUUGUUAAAGACAAACUAGUGCGAAAGCAUUUGCCAAGGAUGUUUUCAUUAAUCAAGAACGAAAGUUAGGGGAUCGAAGACGAUCAGAUACCGUCGUAGUCUUAACCAUAAACUAUGCCAACUAGAGAUUGGAGGUUGUUCCUUACUCCUUC